GCUGGGCAUGGUGGCUCACGCCUGUAAUCCCAGCAUUUUGGGAGGCCGAGAUGGGUGGAUCACCUGAGGUCAGGAGCCCGAGACCAGCCUGGCCAACAUGGAGAAACCCCAUCUCUU
rnacentral:SRP_RNA from 1 species